rnacentral:misc_RNA from 1 species
UGCCAACCAUCUCAGCUAUCAACUGCACAUCAUUCAUCAACACCAAAUUUCCAUUUGAAUUCAAUUCAAAAGCAAAACUUUCAGUCUUUAAUGGCUAAAUAAAGCUUCAUAUACCCUUCAAAAAACUAUUCAAUUUUUCAUCAAGAGGACAUACAAUUGGCCAGAUACAAUCGGUGGCAAGCAAGAAAUCAAAUUUUAUGAAAUGGGUUUGAUUCAAAAGGCUUUUUUUG